UCGUGGAUCAGAGAGUGAGUACGAAGAUGAAGAAUUACCUCCAAAGGAAGAAUUGGAGUAUCUUGAAUUAAUCCAAAAGACAAAGGAGUCCAUCAGUUUACUUCCAUCAUUAAACUCAUAAGAUCUAGCUAGCCUACAAUGUAAUGUCGAGUUUAAGCAAAGCUUUGAAGAGACAGAAACUUCAGGUCAAAGUUCUGAAUAUGAGAACGAUAUUCUUCGACCAAGAGGUGGAGAGUUUUAUUCUUCGGAAGACUCCAGCAGAACGACGACCAGUUAUGUGAAUAUGAAACGAUGAUGAAAUUCAUGGAAUAAAUUUGGAAAAAGAAAACGAGUUCUUUGCAAUCCAGUAUGUCCAUUACAAAGAAAAGACUAAAGGCAGAGAAUUCAGAUAGAAACUUGGAUGCAUCUGAGAAGGCUAGCUAGGACCCAUGGGAGAAAUAGAAGUCUAGGUGUCGGAUUAAGUGUGAUAAGCCGGUUAGUAGAAAGAGCUCAAGUGUUUGGAGAUGACACAAAGUUGAUGAAAUUGAAAUCUGGUAGAGUGGUAGCAAACUUGAAUCUGAAAAGGGAUCUUAGGAGGCUGAAAAGAUGUUUAAGACAUGGAAAAAGGAUUAUGAAGGAA